CUGGAGUGUCUGAAGACAGCUACAGUGUACUUACAUAUAAUAAAUAAAUAAAUCUUUAAAAAAAUAAUAAUAAUUAUGAGGAUCCUGAGUUUGUACCUUUUCUGGAGCUAUUUGCUGUCCUUUGUCAGCUAAAGCCUGUUGUAAAUCUCUAUAACAUAAAAGCAAGUCCUGAGGAUCUUUUCCUGGUAUUAAGACAUCAUCUGUGUAAUGAACAAUGUAUAUCAUUGGCUAUUGCUGUCUUACAGGCUGAAUGGCUUGUGCCACAAACUUUUGACUAUUAGCCAUGCCCUGGGGGAGAACUGUCCAUUGAUAUCUUUUCAUGGGUUCCUUAAAAUUAAUAGAAGGAACACUGAAAGCAAAUCUUUCACAAUCCUCAGGGUGCAAAGGAAUAGUAAAGAAAUAAUCUUUCAAGUCUACCACAAUUUUAUGAUAUCCAUUAGGAAUGGCUACUGGAGAUAGGAGCCCAGGCUGUAAAGCUCCCAUAGGUACCAUGGUUUCAUUAACCUUUCUUAGAUCUUUAACAAUCUCUAUUUACUGGAUUUUUUCUGGAUAACAAAUAUUGGAGUACUCCAUGGUGGCUGAGAUUCUCUUAGAUGCCCUGCCUCUAAUUGCUCCUGCACUAGUGAAGAGGCAGCUUCUAUUUUUCUUUAGAUAAAGACCACUGAACAACCCACACUGGAAUAUUAUUAAGCCAUUGAAUUUUAUCAGCAUGGGAUGCAGACAAGCUAGUGGCCGUUACAGAAAAUACCCCAAGCCUCUAGUGUUAGAGUGAGGCUUAGGCCUUUCAAAUGUCUUAAUGCCGUUUCCUUCCUUUCCUAGCCCCUGACCAGGCAAAACUCCUUGUUCCAGCGUCUUAGUCAGUGCCUCAUUAGGACUACAUAUAAGACCCAUCUGUGACAUCAUAUAAGACCCAUCUGUGACAUAUAAAAGACCCAUCUGUGACAUAUAAGACCCAUCUGUGACAUAUAAAAGACCCAUCUGUGACAAGAGAUCUCUUCCCCAGAGGGUAAUAGGCAAAUUUGACAUGACACAAGGCUGACUUUGUCCUGAUUGCCCUUCUCAUCUCUCCAGGUUAGAGUUUAGAGUUUUGUUUUGGGUUAUUGGUGUAACCAAUCUCUUGGCGGUGAGUGAGUGUAUCAGGUAAAGGCCAAGCUGAAGGCCAAUCUUGUCCUCUAAUAAUUGUUACACCAGCCCCAGUGUCUUUUAAUCCUUCAAAGCUUUUUCCUUCAAUUAUUAACUUAAGGUUAGGACUCUUACUAGUAAUAGAUUGAACCCAGUACACAUCAGAGGAACCAAAGCCACCCUGUCCUCUCUCACUCUUAGCAAAUUUGGAAGGUAGCUGAUGCAAGGGAACUAAGAUAAGUUGAGCAAUUCUUUGGUUAGCAAGUACAGUUAUAAUACCAUGAGGGGAAGCAGCCAUAACUUUAAUUUCUCCCUCAUAAUCAUUAUCUAUAACACCUGGGUAAAUAUGCAGUCCUUUUACAAUAGUACAGCUUUGUCCUAGAAGAAAUCCUCAAGUUUCUGCAGGUAAAGGUCCACAAACUCCUGUAGGCAGGGUUUGAACUCCCAUUUCUGGGGUUAAUACCACGUGGGUGGUGGAACAGAGGUUCAAUCCUGCACUUCCUGGGGUUGCCCUGAUAAGUUCAAAAAUGGGUUUCCCUGGCCUGGCAGCAGCUUCAUGACCCCACAAGCUGCUUGCUGUGGUCGUCUGGGAGCCUAAGGCUGGCCCCUCUGGCAUGGGAAGGCCCUGAAUAUCUGUCUUAGAUUUACAUUCCCUGGCCCAGUGGUUAUACUUCCUGCAUCGAGGACAAACUCCUGGGGCAUAGCCUGAUUGCCCACUCACGACACUUCUAUUUCUAGGACAAUCAUUUUUAAAAUGACUCAAACCUCCACAUUUAAAACAUACUUUAUUCCCUCGUUUCUGUGAAGGCAUUGCUUGCACAGUGGUUCCUUGCAAAGAGGGGCCAAGCUCUCAUUAUAUGAAGACCCAAUCUGUGCACAAAGAUGAAUAUACCCAGCUAAGUCUGUCUGUGCUUUGUAUGGGUGAACAGUGUUAUGACAUGCUGCAUUAGCAUUCUGUACUGGCUAGUUUUGUGUCAACUUGACACAGCUGGAGUUAUCACAGAGAAAGGAGCUUCAAUUGAGGAAAUGCCUCCAUGAGAUCCAACUGUAAGGCAUUUUCUCAAUUAGUGAUCAAGUGGGAAGGGCCCCUUGUGGGUGGGACCAUCUCUGGGCUGGUAAUCUUGGGUUCUAUAAGAGAGCAGG
rnacentral:lncRNA from 1 species